rnacentral:rRNA from 1 species
GACGAACGCUGGCGGCGUGCUUAACACAUGCAAGUGGAGCGACGAAGCGGGCUUCGGCCCGUGGCAGAGCCGCGAACGGGUGAGUAACACGUGGGUAACCUGCCCCGAUGACUGGGACAACCCGGGGAAACCCGGGCUAAUACCGGAUGUUCUCCCAUCACACCAGUGGUGGAAGAAAAGGUAGCUUCGGCUUCCGCAUCGGGAUGGGCCCGCGGCCCAUUAGCUUGUUGGUGGGGUAAAGGCCUACCAAGGCAUCGAUGGGUAGCUGGUCUGAGAGGACGAUCAGCCACACUGGGACUGAGACACGGCCCAGACUCCUACGGGAGGCAGCAGUGGGGAAUCUUGCGCAAUGCGCGAAAGCGUGACGCAGCAACGCCGCGUGGGGGAAGAAGGCCUUCGGGUUGUAAACCCCUUUCAGGAGGGACGAAGGUCGGCUGGUGAAUAGCCAGUCCGACUGACGGUACCUCCACAAGAAGCCCCGGCUAACUACGUGCCAGCAGCCGCAGUAAAAC